GUUUGAUCACUGGCUCAGAGCGAACGCUGGCGGCAGGCUUAACACAUGCAAGUCGAGCGGGCCCUUCGGGGUCAGCGGCAGACGGGUGAGUAACGCGUGGGAACGUGCCCUUCGGUUCGGAAUAACCCAGGGAAACUAGGGCUAAUACCGGAUACGCCCCUUGGGGGAAAGGUUUACUGCCGAAGGAUCGGCCCGCGUCUGAUUAGCUAGUUGGUGAGGUAACGGCUCACCAAGGCGACGAUCAGUAGCUGGUCUGAGAGGAUGAUCAGCCACACUGGGACUGAGACACGGCCCAGACUCCUACG
rnacentral:rRNA from 1 species